GAUGAACGCUGGCGGCGUGCCUAAUACAUGCAAGUCGAACGAACAUACGAUGACCUUGCUCCUCUGCCGUUACCGACGGACGGGUGAGUAACAAGUGGAUAACCUACCUAUAAGACUCGUAUCACUUCGGGGAACCUGAGCUAAUACCACAUAAUAUAUUGAACCGCAAGGAUCAAUACUGAAAGACGGUUUUGCUGUCACUUAUAAAUGUAUCCGGUCCGCAUUAGCUAGGUGGUAAGGUAACAGCUUGACAAGGCAACGAUUCGUAACCGACCUGAGAGGGUGAACGGCCACACUGGAACCGAGACACGGGCCAGACUCCUAAGGGAGGCAGGAGUAGGGAAUCUUCCGCCAUGGGCGAAAGCCUGACGGAACAACGCCGCGUGAGGGAUGAAGGUCUUCCGAUCGUAAAACUCUGUUAGUAGGGAAGAACAAAUGGGUAAGGAACUAGGCACGGCUUGAAGGUAAUUAAUCAGAAAGCCACGGCUAACUUACGU
rnacentral:rRNA from 1 species